rnacentral:rRNA from 1 species
UACAGAGGUCCCAAGCGUUGUUCGGAUUUACUGGGCGUAAAGGGUGCGUAGGUGGUCGGGUAAGUUUGAUGUGAAAUCUCCAAGCUCAACUUGGAAAAUGCAUUGAAUACUACUUGGCUUGAGGUUCGGAGGGGAGACUGGAAUUCUCGGUGUAGCGGUGAAAUGCGUAGAUAUCGAGAGGAACACCAGUGGCGAAAGCGAGUCUCUGGACGGAUCCUGACACUGAGGCACGAAAGCUAGGGGAUCAAACAGG